rnacentral:rRNA from 1 species
CCUACGGGAGGCAGCAGUGAGGAAUAUUGGUCAAUGGGCUUACGCCUGAACCAGCCAAGUCGCGUGAGGGAAGACUGCCCUAUGGGUUGUAAACCUCUUUUGUCAGGGAGCAAUUGGCGCUACGUGUAGCGUUAUCGAGAGUACCUGAAGAAAAAGCAUCGGCUAACUCCGUGCCAGCAGCCGCGGUAAUACGGAGGAUGCGAGCGUUAUCCGGAUUUAUUGGGUUUAAAGGGUGCGUAGGCGGAAUGCCAAGUCAGCGGUAAAAUCGCGGGGCUCAACCUCGCUCCGCCGUUGAAACUGGCGGUCUUGAGUGGGCGAGAAGUAUGCGGAAUGCGUGGUGGAGCGGUGAAAUGCAUAGAUAUCACGCAGAACUCCGAUUGCGAAGGCAGCAUACCGGCGCCCGACUGACGCUGAGGCACGAAAGCGUGGGUAUCGAACAGGAUUAGAUACCCUUGUAGUC